GAGAAAGAAAAUUCGGAGGUGGGGGCCACACAUCAGCCGAGCAUUGAGGAGGUGAACGGCUACUGGGAAAAGGAUAGGCCCGCAAUGAAGAAGAAGGAGCCAGGGCAUGGCCGGCCCCUAUAGCCUCUGUGCAGGUGCAGGUAGAGCCGGGGAGACUCGUAAAAUUAGAAGUCAAU